rnacentral:rRNA from 1 species
UACGUAGGGUGCAAGCGUUGUCCGGAAUUAUUGGGCGUAAAGAGCUCGUAGGCGGUUUGUCGCGUCUGCUGUGAAAACUCGGGGCUUAACUCCGGGCCUGCAGUGGGUACGGGCAGACUAGAGUGCGGUAGGGGAGACUGGAAUUCCUGGUGUAGCGGUGAAAUGCGCAGAUAUCAGGAGGAACACCGGUGGCGAAGGCGGGUCUCUGGGCCGUAACUGACGCUGAGAGACGAAAGCUAGGGGAGCAAAUGGG